rnacentral:tRNA from 2 species
UUGCUGUAGCUUAAAACAAAGCAUAGCAUUGAAAAUGCUAAAAUGGUCCAUACCCACCAAC